rnacentral:rRNA from 1 species
CGGGGUGCACCAGGCGCGAAAACUUUACAAUGCGGGAAACCGUGAUAAGGGGACACCGAGUGCCAGCAUCAUAUGCUGGCUGUCCGGGUGUGUAAAAUACACCCGUUAGCAAGGGCCGGGCAAGACCGGUGCCAGCCGCCGCGGUAACACCGGCGGCCCGAGUGGUGAUCGUGAUUAUUGGGUCUAAAGGGUCCGUAGCCGGUUUGGUCAGUCCUCCGGGAAAUCUGACGGCUCAACCGUUAGGCUUUCGGGGGAUACUGCCAGGCUUGGAACCGGGAGAGGUAAGAGGUACUACAGGGGUAGGAGUGAAAUCUUGUAAUCCCUGUGAGACCACCUGUGGCGAAGGCGUCUUACCAGAACGGGUUCGACGGUGAGGGACGAAAGCUGGGGGCACGAACCGGAUUAGAUACCCGGGUAGUCCCAGCCGUAAACGAUGCUCGCUAGGUGUCAGGCAUGGCGCGACCGUGUCUGGUGCCGCAGGGAAGCCGUGAAGCGAGCCACCUGGGAAGUACGGCCGCAAGGCUGAAACUUAAAGGAAUUGGCGGGGGAGCACAAGGGCGAUUCGCG